rnacentral:tRNA from 1 species
UCCCUGGUGACUUAGUUGGUAAAGAAUCUGCUUGCAGUGCAGGAGAUUUGGGUUUAAUCCCUAGAUUGGGAA